UACGUAGGUGGCAAGCGUUGUCCGGAUUUACUGGGCGUAAAGAGCGCGCAGGCGGUCGUUCAAGUCGCGUGUGAAAGCCCCCGGCUCAACUGGGGAGGGUCACGCGAUACUGAUCGACUCGAAGGCAGGAGAGGGUAGUGGAAUUCCCGGUGUAGUGGUGAAAUGCGUAGAUAUCGGGAGGAACACCUAUUGCGAAGGCAGCUCGCUGGGACGUAACUGACGCUGAGACGCGAAAGCGUGGGGAGCAAACAGG
rnacentral:rRNA from 1 species